CCCAUCCCAUCAUGCCCCAUGCCCUCCGGAACAUCCCGUCCCAUCAUGCCCCACGCCCUCCGGAACAUCCCGUCCCAUCACGCCCCAGGCCCUCUGGAACAUUCUGUCCCAUCAUGCCCCAUGCCUUCUGGAACAUUCUGUCCCAUGCCCCACGCCCUCUGGAGGGUGAGGGCUGCAGGGCCAGCAUCUGCCUAGCCCGUGGCAGCCUCAGCCCUUAGAGAGCAGCCCUGGUUGCCAGGAACCCAUUGGGCAGAAACCCAUCCAGUGACCACUGGCAAAGCAGCAGUUCCUCUGCAGGGGCUUUUGUGUGUUGGUUCCUUUAGCACCUUCCAAUAGAAACCAAAUGUGAGCCACAAAUGGGCGCCACAUACGUAUAACUUAGUUUUCUAGUAGCCACGUUAAAAACGUUCAAAGGUCAUCUUAAUUUUAAUAAUAUGUUUUAUUUAAUCGACUAUAUCCAAAAUUACUAUCAUUUUAACAGGUACUCAAUAUAAAACGAUUAAUGACAUCUUUUAUUCUUUUAGAAGUGUUUCAUGAGGUCUCUGCAGCAGCACGUCUCAGGUGGGACCUGCCACGUUCCCCAUGCUCUGCAGCGGCUCACAGCCUGGAUGGCAUUGCGGUGUAGACACUGAGCUGUGGGCAGGACUCUUCCUGGUCCUCGUGGUGAGCACACAGUGCCAGGCCGUGCACGCUGGGGUACCAUGGGCCGGGCUGGUCCUGGCCCUGCCCUGUCCCUGGGACCCUCGGGAUGUUGCUCAGCGUGUUUUGGUGAUGGUUCCUUUCCUGUAAGGUGCGCGGCCGAGAGCAUCUGCUGCUAGGAGGACCACGUGAGUUCAUUUCAGUUGGGUGCAGCGCCCGCCUAGUAAUCUCAGUGACCCUUGGUCGCUCAGCCUGUGACUGUGCCCACCUGACACCAUCAGAAGAUGGCGGACUUGGGGGUCAGGAGAGCCCUUCCAGGACUGCAGAAGCUGGUCCGUGGGGGUCUUGCAGCAGAUACCGGGGGCGUUCCCUGUGUGAGUGCAGUGCACAUGGGGGGCUCAGGACUGGGGCCCGACUCCCUGGUCCCACAUGCCUCACAAGGCAGGACGUUCUGGGUCCUGUCACAUCCCCGGAAUCAGGGCCCGGACCCUGGUCAGAGCAGGACCUGCAGACGACCCCGGGUGGGGCAGACUGUCUUCUGUCCUUGGUGGCAAAGCCCGAGUUCUUGGCAUCACGUCUGCACGUGUGUGUCUGAAGCCACGGGAACGCAGGGGCUACCUCCGGGCCUGCGCCUGUGGAGCAGGAUUGGGGAGGACACACGGGUGGGCGUCUCAAGAACUGUUGUGACACAACUGAGCCCCUGCAGCUCUGCUCUGUUGGGCCUUGCCCUCGGUGCUGGGUGCAACGCGUGACAGGAUGGCACGGGAAGCUUCCCAAGAACGCUGGAACUGGGUGUUUGAAGACUUCAUGGCGGCAGCUCCAGCCCGAGCGCUGCAACUACGGGGCUGUGCCAGGAGCGGUGCCGCGGAGCCUGCGUGGGUCCAGGGCGAGAGAACGCCAGAGCACAGGAUCCAGAACGGCUGCUCUGCCGGCAACGGUGACCUUUACGCACACAUAUGCUGAAAACGGGGGCAAUACACGCGCUACUACAACAGGGAAACGUCUCCUUAAAAAUCAGCUUCUGUGACUAAAAGAACAUCACUGCAAUUCCAGAAAACACCCGUGUACGUCUCGGGUCUCAGUUCUGAGAGACACAGGGCAGAGGAGGCACAGAAAGAAGCGCUUUCUCUGGGGGCUUUCCCACUCGCAUCCAUGAAAAUGGCAGCUAACUCUACAGCUUGCACAUUGGAUAACAUCUCAGGCCCUUCACAACUGUGCUGCUACCCCACAAAAGAAAUACCACACGAGGCGGAAGAAAAACAGAACGAAACACAAAACAGGCGUGCACACACCACGUACACAGCACGGCGCUUGUCCAUCGCUGCCCUUUGUCCGCACAGUCCGGCGCGGUUUGAAGUCCACUACUAUGGACUUCCCACUUGCUGACUAAAAAGAAACCAAAGGCAGCAUGGGCUCCCUGAUACGCCCGCAGCUGAAUGCCUGCGUCUCCUGCAUUAACUAACGUCCUGUUUAACAGGAGCGCUGCGAUACUGAUCUGAAGAUGAUUCAGCUCAUAAUCAAGACUGACCAAGAUUAACAUGUGCUGGCGGCUGCGGCAAGAGUUUCAAACACAGCUCGCCUGAACCUCGCAACAGCCUGUGAUGCAGACGCUGUCACUAGCUUCGCUUCUAGAUGAAGAAGUAAGGCUUGGAAAGACGAGACAAUUUUCUGAGGUCACACAGCUACCACAGAACAGUGUGGGGUCAACACCCAGGCCUGCCCAAAGCCCAGACCGUGUGCUGAUCCUCCGCACCACAAGGCCUCCUGAGGCUGGCGUGGACUUGACUGAAACAAUGUCUUACAGGAAGAGAACAGAGAAAUCUUGGGAUAUUCUUUGCUACCCACUGAUCUUCCUGAUUAGAAAGUAAGUUGACAUUUGCAGAAUUAUUAACAUGUUAUUAGGAUAUAAAAUUCUACCGAUUUCUAAAAGUUAGGAGCAACUGAAAAAAUUAAACAUAAAAAGGCAAUGAAAAGUAUUCCAGAAUAUGUAGAAAACAAAUCAGUAAAGGACACUAUAAAAAAGAAAAUGCCAUGGCUGGGCAUGACGGCUUACACCUGUAAUCCCAGUCCUUUGGGAGGCCAAGGUGGGAGGAUCGCUUAAUUUCAGGACUUCAAGACCAGACUGGGCAACAAAGUGAGACCUUAUCUCUAUUAAAAAAAAAAAAAAAUGAGCCAGGUGUGUCCGUAAGCACCUGUGGUCCCCAACUACAUGAGAGGCUAAGGCAGGUGGAUCUCUCGAGCCCAGGAGUUCCGCAGUGCCACUAACUGUGCCACUGCACUCCAGCCUGGCAGACAGAGCAAGACCCUGUCUCACAAACAAACAACAACAACAACAAACAAAAAAUAGUAAGUGUAUAAACUAAUCCAGAAAAAGAAAAGCAUAAACAGAAAUGUAAAAGUAGAAACAGCUACAGGCAGAAAAAGGAAACUGAAAUGACAAGAGCAUUGUCUUUUACUCCGUGCAAAUCCAUGAGAAAACAGGGACAAAGCAGGUGGCUUUCUAGAAAACUCUAAAUUAAAAAACCUGUUCCCAGAAACACAGAAAAAUCCUCAGGCACACAACACUAAGGCAGACUAAUAAGUUAUGAAAAGCACACAGCACACCUCCUGUGCUCAGCAAAGGCAAUUCUUGGGUGAAUACUCAAACCUUCAAGGAAUAAAUCAUUCCAUAUUACUCAGAAGUUUUCCAGAGGGAGAAAGACAGCUUCUAACCUAUAUGCCGCCAUAUCCUUUUGAGAUGUCACCUGUGCACACACAAACCAGACACCAACAUCACUCACAAACGCAAAAACCCGGGGAGAUGCCACCCCUGGAGCUCCAACCUAUUGGUUCUGAGUUUAGGAGCAACACAUCGUUAGAGUUCCUGUGGCAGAAACUAGAACCGUGCACUGGGUCCGGCUCCCCUCCCUGGCGCUGUGAUGGUUAAUACUGAGUGUCAACUUGAAUGGCUUGAAGGAUGCAAAGUGUUGUUCCUAGGUGUGUCUGUGAGGGUGCUGCCAAAGGAGUUGAACAUUUGAGUCAGUGGACUGGGAGAGGCAGACUCGCCCUCAGUUUGGGUGGGCACCGUCUACAAUCGGCUGCCAGCGCAGCGCAGCCAGAAUAAAGCAGGCAGAAGUCGGAAAGAGCAGACUUGCCAAGUCUUCCAGCCUCAUCUUCCUCCUGUGCUGGAGGCUUCCUGCUCUCGAACAUCGGUCUCGAAGUUCUUCAGCUUUUGGACUCUUGGACUUACACCCGUGAUUUGCCAGGGGGUCUCAGGCCUUUGGGCACAGACUGAGGCUACACUGUUGGCUUCCCUACUUUUGAGGUUUUCAGACUCGGGCUGGCUUCCUUGCCCCUCAGCUUGCAGACAAGCUGUUGUGGGACCUCACCUUGUGAUCGGGAGACAAUUCUCCUAAUAAACUCCCCUUCAUAGAUUCAUCUAUCCUAUGUGUCCUGUCCUUCUGGAGAGCCCCGACUCACAUAGGCACCGAGGGGUGGGGGUGCCAUGGGUCUGCAUCUGGCCUUGGGUGGGGUCCUCCCCUCCAGCAGCAACCUGGAGGGCACAGGUUCCAGACGAUGGGGCCACAGGAGAGGGCAACCCGGGUCCCAGAACACUGCAUGGAGGGAGUGCCCUGCAGAGCUGCUGGACCCCUGGGACUCUGCCAGGGCAGGAGAGGCCACUGUCUCCCAACCCAGUGGAUCAUCCCAUCUUGACCACUCUGUUCUCCACCUGGCAGCCCUUGGGAUGGUGAAGAGAGCUCCCAUUCUCAGCUCUUUCACCUGCUUCUCUGUCACAGGUUUGGGGUUCCUCACCACCCUGGUGGCACGGAAGCCGUUACAGACGGACAAUGGCCAUUUUAAAGCUUUCUCAAGGCGGAGUGGCCCGCAGUCCGUGGCUGUGAGCUGUUGAGUGGAGACGAAGGCGAGAAUGAUUUUUCUCUGUGGUGUGGUCAUCAGAUGAUUUUAAACCAUCCAAAAACAGCACAGCUAUGUUAACAGCCACAUAGGUUGCUAGAUGACAUCAAAUCUGUCGUCAGCUAGAAACCCCAGUUCUUUUCAUAUUUACCACUGAUCAACUUCAGUCACGGAAACACAGGUCUGAAAUUGAUGCAGAAAACUCAUUUCAGCUAGGCCCAGUGGCUCGUGCCUAUAAUCCCAGCCAUUUGGGAGGCAGAGGCAGGAGGACUGCUUGAGGCCAGGAGUUUGAGGCCAGCCUGGGCAACAUGGCAAGACCCCAUCUCUACAAAAAACUUA